rnacentral:rRNA from 1 species
AUGCACGCUGGCGGCGUGCCUAAUACAUGCAAGUCGAGCGAACAGACGAGGAGCUUGCUCCUCUGACGUUAGCGGCGGACGGGUGAGUAACACGUGGAUAACCUACCUAUAAGACUGGGAUAACUUCGGGAAACCGGAGCUAAUACCGGAUAAUAUAUUGAACCGCAUGGUUCAAUAGUGAAAGACGGUUUUGCUGUCACUUAUAGAUGGAUCCGCGCCGCAUUAGCUAGUUGGUAAGGUAACGGCUUACCAAGGCAACGAUGCGUAGCCGACCUGAGAGGGUGAUCGGCCACACUGGAACUGAGACACGGUCCAGACUCCUACGGGAGGCAGCAGUAGGGAAUCUUCCGCAAUGGGCGAAAGCUUGACGGAGCAACGCCGCGUGAGUGAUGAAGGUCUUCGGAUCGUAAAACUCUGUUAUUAGGGAAGAACAAAUGUGUAAGUAACUACGCACGUCUUGACGGUACCUAAUCAGAAAGCCACGGCUAACUACGUG